CUCCAAUCAGAUCUCUGCAUUGUGUGUUAGGGAAGUGCAGUGUUUCCUGCUGUUUUGACUGGCUUCCUCCCAUUGGUGUGUGCUCAGGAUUGGGCAUUUGGUCCUGGAAAGCCACACAGUUUUUAAACAGUGCUCCUGUUGGGGUGAGUUCUUCGAUUUUGUGCAGUGUUUCUGCUACAACGCCAACCAAUUCAAAUAAAGCAUCUGACACUUAAAGCCGUUUGAAGCCUCCCUGGAGACGCCUGCUCACCCUUCUCAGCGUAUUCGACAUGUAGAAGUCAUUGACAUCAAGCAACCCUCCACCUCUUUUCCACUCAGUCAAACCGGGCACUAUGCAGGUCGAUCAUCAGGUCACCAGCAGCACAUCUCUCCAGAUCCCCCCACAGCCGAGGACUGCUGUGCUCAGAAACCCAACCCCACUAGAAACUGUUCAGCCCGGCCUGGUCCAGGCUAUCAUCAAUCCUAAGCGGGGUAUGGAGGGACCCCUCCAGACGCCACAGCCCCCCAAGACCUGUAGCUCACCUGGAACUGCGGGAAAGUCGUGCUGGAGUUUGGAUGUGAGGGUGGCCGUCCUGCUGCUGACCCUGGCUGGAGCUGUAAUCCUCCUGCUGCUGUAUAGACUCUUACAAAUAAGACACAGGCUGAGGUUGGCCAGGGCAAGGAACUCUCUAGAGUACCACAGCUUCUUCCACACCGCCACCUACACACUGAAACACCCUGCGCCGUGUCAGGACCUGCCAGCCAAGAACGGGAUGGUCGCCGAGGCUAUGCAGCCUAUCCAAACUGUAACCGCAGUGACACCCACCGUCAUCACCCCACUUCCACCUCCACCAGUGCCCUCUCCACCCCCACUGCCACUACCACCACCUCCUGUGCUGCCUCCACCACUUUCCAUCCCUCCAACACCUCCCGUCCUGGCCUUCCCUCUCCACCUGCCUAUGAUCCACACCACCCCACCCAGCCCUCAUCUGUCAUGGGGUGCCUGCUCAGACGUAGAUGUGUACUCUCGGAUCGGAGCUUUCAGACCCUCCAGGCUCUCCAGCCUCUCCACUCAUUCGAAAGUCAUCCUGUUUGAACACUCGUCUCUCUGA
rnacentral:lncRNA from 1 species